rnacentral:rRNA from 1 species
AUGCUCAAGAUAGAUCUUGCUAAAGCUUUUGAUCGUCUUGAAUGGAGUUUCAUUGUGUCUGCUCUUGCACGUAAAGGUCUGCAUGGUCAUUUCAUUAAUUUGAUUCAUGCUUGCAUUUCUUCUCCUACUUUCUCUGUGCUUAUUAAUGGGCAGCCUUCUCAUAAAUUUAAAAGUUUCAGAGGUAUUCGUCAAGGUUGUCCCAUGUCGCCUUAUUUGUUUGUUACUGCUAUCAAUGAAUUAUCUGUUGCUCUUAAUGAAGCUCUAGCUGCUCAUCAUCUCCAGGGUAUUUCACUUGGUCCAGAUUGCCCUUCUAUUCAUUCUCUGUUGUUUGCAGAUGAUCUGUUGGUUUGUGGUCAAGCCACUAUGCAGGAAGCAAAUUCUAUGGCUCAACUCAUCCAUCACUUUUGUUAU